rnacentral:rRNA from 1 species
UACGAAGGGGACUAGCGUUGUUCGGAAUCACUGGGCGUAAAGCGCACGUAGGCGGAUUUGUAAGUCAGGGGUGAAAUCCCGGGGCUCAACCUCGGAACUGCCUUUGAUACUGCGAAUCUAGAGUCCGAUAGAGGUGGGUGGAAUUCCUAGUGUAGAGGUGAAAUUCGUAGAUAUUAGGAAGAACACCGGUGGCGAAGGCGGCCCACUGGAUCGGUACUGACGCUGAGGUGCGAAAGCGUGGGGAGCGAACAGG